GUGGGGAAUAUUGGACAAUGGGCGAAAGCCUGAUCCAGCCAUGCCGCGUGUGUGAAGAAGGUCUUCGGAUUGUAAAGCACUUUAAGUUGGGAGGAAGGGCAGUAAGUUAAUAUCUUGCUGUUUUGACGUUACCGACAGAAUAAGCACCGGCUAACUCUGUGCCAGCAGCCGCGGUAAUACAGAGGGUGCAAGCGUUAAUCGGAAUUACUGGGCGUAAAGCGCGCGUAGUUGGUUCGUUAAGUUGGAUGUGAAAGCCCCGGGCUCAACCUGGGAACUGCAUCCAAAACUGGCGAGCUAGAGUACGGUAGAGGGUGGUGGAAUUUCCUGUGUAGCGGUGAAAUGCGUAGAUAUAGGAAGGAACACCAGUGGCGAAGGCGACCACCUGGACUGAUACUGACACUGAGGUGCGAAAGCGUGGGGAGCAAACAGGAUUAGAAACCCUGGUAGUCC
rnacentral:rRNA from 1 species